GAAACGACUCUCGACAACGGAUAUCUCGGCUCUCGCAUCGAUGAAGAACGUAGCGAAAUGCGAUACUUGGUGUGAAUUGCAGAAUCCCGUGAACCAUCGAGUCUUUGAACGCAAGUUGCGCCCGAAGCCAUCCGGCCGAGGGCACGUCUGCCUGGGCGUCACGC
rnacentral:rRNA from 1 species